CUGAUGAUAAAUGGGUAUGCAAAUAAUAAUUUGGGAGAUGAGGGUUUGCUGUUGUUUGAGCAGAUGAGGAAAUUAGGGUUGAAACCAACUGAGGAAACGUUCCUUGCAGUUUUGUCUGCUUGUGCCAGUGCAGAUGCGGUGGAGGAAGGAUUUUUACAUCUUGAGUCUAUGAAGAAUGAGUAUGGAAUUAAUCCAAGGAUGGAACAUUAUUUGGGGGUUAUUGAUGUACUUGGGAAGUCUGGGUUUGUUAAUGAAAUUGAAGAGUACAUUGAGAAACUGCCUUUUGAGUCGACAGUGGAAAUUUGGGGUGCA
rnacentral:misc_RNA from 1 species